rnacentral:rRNA from 1 species
AUUGAACGCUGGCGGCAGGCCUAACACAUGCAAGUCGAACGAGUGGCGGACGGGUGAGUAACGUCUGGGAAACUGCCUGAUGGAGGGGGUAAACUACUGGAAACGGUAGCUAAUACCGCAUACCAUCGGAUGUGCGCAGAUGGGAUUAGCUAGUAGGUGGGGUAAAGGUUCACCUAGGCGACGAUCCCUAGCUGGUCUGAGAGGAUGACCAGCGACACUGGAACUGAGACACGGUCCCGACUCCUACGGGAGGCAGCAGUGGCGAAUAUUGGGCAGUGGGCGCAAGCCUGAUACAACCAUGCGACGUGUGUUGAGAAGGCCUUCGGGUUGUAAAGUACUUUCAGCGGGGAGACGUUACCCGCAGAAGAAGCACCGGCUAACUCCGUGCCAGCAGCCGCGGUAAUUC